UACGAAGGGGGCUAGCGUUGCUCGGAAUUACUGGGCGUAAAGGGCGCGUAGGCGGAUAGUUCAGUCGGGGGUGAAAGCCCGGGGCUCAACCUCGGAACUGCCUUCGAUACUGGCUAUCUUGAGUACGGGAGAGGUGUGUGGAACUCCGAGUGUAGAGGUGAAAUUCGUAGAUAUUCGGAAGAACACCAGUGGCGAAGGCGACACACUGGCCCGUUACUGACGCUGAGGCGCGAAAGCGUGGGGGAGCAAACAGG
rnacentral:rRNA from 1 species